UACGUAGGGUGCAAGCGUUCUCCGGAAUUCUUGGGCGUAAAGAGCUCGUAGGCGGUUUGUCGCGUCGGCCGUGAAAUCUCCCCGCUUAACGUGGAGCGUGCGGUCGAUACGGGCAGACUUGAGUUCGGUAGGGGAGACUGGAAUUCCUGGUGUAGCGGUGAAAUGCGCAGAUAUCAGGAGGAACACCAAUGGCGAAGGCAGAUCUCUGGGCCGUAACUGACGCUGAGGAGCGAAAGCAUGGGGAGCGAACAGG
rnacentral:rRNA from 1 species